rnacentral:rRNA from 1 species
CAGUAGCCGCGGUAAUACGAAGGGUGCAAGCGUUAAUCGGAAUUACUGGGCGUAAAGCGCACGCAGGCGGUUUGUUAAGUCAGAUGUGAAAUCCCCGAGCUUAACUUGGGAACUGCAUUUGAAACUGGCAAGCUAGAGUCUUGUAGAGGGGGGUAGAAUUCCAGGUGUAGCGGUGAAAUGCGUAGAGAUCUGGAGGAAUACCGGUGGCGAAGGCGGCCCCCUGGACAAAGACUGACGCUCAGGUGCGAAAGCGUGGGGAGCAAACAGGAUUAGAUACCCCAGUAGUCCCUGUCUCUUAUAC